UACGUAUGGAGCAAGCGUUAUCCGGAUUUACUGGGUGUAAAGGGUGCGUAGGUGGCAGUGCAAGUCAGAUGUGAAAGGCCGGGGCUCAACCCCGGAGCUGCAUUUGAAACUGCUCGGCUAGAGUACAGGAGAGGCAGGCGGAAUUCCUAGUGUAGCGGUGAAAUGCGUAGAUAUUAGGAGGAACACCAGUGGCGAAGGCGGCCUGCUGGACUGUUACUGACACUGAGGCACGAAAGCGUGGGGAGCAAACAGGAUUAGAUACCCCGGCCGGCUGACUGACU
rnacentral:rRNA from 1 species